UUGCACGCUGGCGGCAGGCCUCACACAUGCCAGUCGAACGGUAACAGGAAGAAGCUUGCUUCUUUGCUGACGAGUGGCGGACGGGUGAGUAAUGUCUGGGAAACUGCCUGAUGGAGGGGGAUAACUACUGGAAACGGUAGCUAAUACCGCAUAACGUCGCAAGACCAAAGAGGGGGACCUUCGGGCCUCUUGCCAUCGGAUGUGCCCAGAUGGGAUUAGCUAGUAGGUGGGGUAACGGCUCACCUAGGCGACGAUCCCUAGCUGGUCUGAGAGGAUGACCAGCCACACUGGAACUGAGACACGGUCCAGACUCCUACGGGAGGCAGCAGUGGGGAAUAUUGCACAAUGGGCGCAAGCCUGAUGCAGCCAUGCCGCGUGUAUGAAGAAGGCCUUCGGGUUGUAAAGUACUUUCAGCGGGGAGGAAGGGAGUAAAGUUAAUACCUUUGCUCAUUGACGUUACCCGCAGAAGAAGCACCGGCUAACUCCGUG
rnacentral:rRNA from 1 species